CCACGCACUGUUUGUAUUUUGCUUUUUCGUGUAAUGCCGUAUCUUGGAGGUUUGACAUCAUUACCCUAAAACUUACAACCUUGUGCAUUGUUUUUUUUUUGUUUGUUUGUUUGUUUGUUUUUGAGACAGAGUCUUGCUAUGUUGCCCAGGCUGGUCUUGAACUCCUGGCCUAAAAUGGUUCUAGUGCUCUGGCCUCCCAAAGUGCUGGGAUUACAGGCAUGAGCCACCGUGCCCAGUCACUAAAACACUAUUUGUUGG
rnacentral:lncRNA from 10 species